rnacentral:lncRNA from 1 species
GUAGCUAGGUCAUUUUCACGUGUACGCCCGAACCUCGACGAGGGGCAUGAAGACCCAAGCGGGUCCCGGCCAAAGAACUUUCUGGAAAUAGAUUAGCUGGCGCGAAGCCUCCGGAAGUUAAAGAGUCAUCGAAAAUGACAUUUUACUGUCAUUGAAAACUCAUCAAUAAUAACAACAUUCUAUAGAUUUAAAAGGGUUUAUUUUUUAUGUUUAUAAUCUAUUUAUUGUGUUGAUUAAAAAUCUAAUGACGCGGCAGUG